rnacentral:rRNA from 1 species
GACGAACGCUGGCGGCGUGCUUAACACAUGCAAGUCGAACGGAGAGGCCCUGCUUUUGUGGGGUGCUCGAGUGGCGAACGGGUGAGUAACACGUGAGUAACCUGCCCUUGACUUUGGGAUAACUUCAGGAAACUGGGGCUAAUACCGGAUAGGAGCUCCUGCUGCAUGGUGGGGGUUGGAAAGUUUCGGCGGUUGGGGAUGGACUCGCGGCUUAUCAGCUUGUUGGUGGGGUAGUGGCUUACCAAGGCUUUGACGGGUAGCCGGCCUGAGAGGGUGACCGGCCACAUUGGGACUGAGAUACGGCCCAGACUCCUACGGGAGGCAGCAGUGGGGAAUAUUGCACAAUGGGCGGAAGCCUGAUGCAGCAACGCCGCGUGCGGGAUGACGGCCUUCGGGUGGUAAACCGCUUUCGCCUGUGACGAAGCGUGAGUGACGGUAAUGGGUAAAGAAGCACCGGCUAACUACGU